UCUUACUCUAAUUAAAUCAGCAUGUGUUCACCAUUCUGGUGACCCAGUUUUACACUACUCAUUACAGAAAUACCAUGGGGACCAGUAGGUACCCUCCUAGAAUUAAAAUUAUCAUGAAAAACAUAUCUAAUUUUUCAUUUUCACAACUGAAAAAUCUUGAAAACAUAAUUAAUUUGAUGAUGAACUUAUCUUCUGUUAAUUUUAGAUUUUAGAGAAUUUUACUAUACUUUAAUACAAUAUUGAACUUUAAACAUCUUAAUGUAUAUGUAUUCCUUUUUUUUGUUUGGAGACAGAGUCUCAGUUCAUCAACCAGGCUGGAGUUCGGUGGCACCAUCUUGGCUCACUGCAACCUCCACCUCCCAGGUUCAAGUGAUUCUCCUGCCUCAACCUCCAGAGCAACUAGGACUACAGGCUCACACCACCACACCUGGCAAAUUUUUUUUUUUGAAAUGACAACGUCUCCAGCCCAGCUGAUUCUGUCUUUAAAUGGUGGAUAAUUCCC
rnacentral:lncRNA from 10 species